UUGGUGGAAUGUCACUUUCAUCUUGUUUAAUCAUAAUCAAUAAUUUGUAUUUAGUAAAACAGAUAUCAUUUUUAUCUGACUCAAUUAACUACCCCUAUUAUUAAACAAGGAAAAAAAUGCUUGUUGCUCUCCCUAUAAAUUUAUCAGGGAGGCAAUACAGUUGUCAGCAACUUCUUUUUCACAAUCGUAGUUUUUCUUCAUUGACAAUAAUGGAUGGCAAGAGUUCUCCAACGAAAUUUUGUAUUGUUCUAGCCUUCUUGCUUUAUGUAUCUGCUUUUCAACUUAUGGCGAAUGAGGAGAUCAAGUCAACUGAGUUGAAUGUUUUACAACUUUCGUUAUCAAAAGAUUUUGAUGCAGAAGAACUGAUCCAAGUUGU